UACGUAGGGGGCUAGCGUUGUCCGGAAUCAUUGGGCGUAAAGGGCGCGUAGGUGGCCCGGUCAGUUCGUGGUGAAAGCGCGGGGCUCAACCCUGCGUCGGCCAUGAAUACUGCCGCGGCUGGAGCACUGUGGAGGCAGGCGGAAUUCCGGGUGUAGCGGUGGAAUGCGUAGAGAUCCGGAAGAACACCGGUGGCGAAGGCGGCCUGCUGGGCAGUUGCUGACACUGAGGCGCGACAGCGUGGGGAGCAAACAGG
rnacentral:rRNA from 1 species